UAGCAAAGCUCGUAGUAGAUACUACUAGUAGAUACUACACUGCAAACAUCUCGCGCCCACGCACGACUCCGCCUUAUUACGCACCUAGGGGUCCUCCUUCGCCGCCGGCCGCCGCUCCUAGUUGCGUGAGUACCUUCGCUCUGCCGUUCGCGCGGCAGGUUUCGUGCCAUCUGGAUUUCGGGGGAACAGGGUGCGGCGUUCUAGGGCUCCGCCGGUUUGGUUUGGUCGGGCCAGCGUCGUGCGUUUCGACGAGCGAAUCUAGUGGUCGAUUUGAAUCAGUGGGGUGUCGGAUGCACCUGCCUGUGGCGCUUAGCUUGAUUGCGAUUUUGCCGUAAUCCCAACGGGAUUUUCAGCGACGUUUGUUUUUGUGCGGUUCAAUGGCGGGAUCUGUGGGCACAGGCAGGGUGGCACCUCGCUCGUCCCCAAAGCGGUACAACGGCAUGGAUCCGCCGUUAUCUUUGACCAGGCCGACCAUGUUCGAUCUGCAGAAGACGGCUGAGCUCGAGAAGUUCUUGGUUGAAGCGGGCCUUUACGAGAGCAAGGAGCAGUCCGCGAAACGGGAGGAGGUGCUACGGGAGAUUGAUGUGAUAGUUAAGGGAUGGGUGAAGCAGUUAACUAGUCAGAAAGGGUAUUCUGAGCAAAUGAUUGAAAAGGCAAAUGUAGUCCUUUUCACUUUUGGAUCUUAUCGCUUGGGGGUUCAUGGGCCUGGAGCAGACAUUGAUAUCUUAUGUGUUGGACCUUCAUAUGUGAACCGAGAGGAGGAUUUCUUUGUCACACUACAUGGCAUAUUAACACAACUGGAAGAAGUGACUGAAAUACAACCUGUACCUGAUGCUCAUGUACCUCUUAUGAAAUUUAAGUUCCACGGGAUGGCAAUUGACCUUCUCUAUGCCAGUGUAUCUCUUGCAGUAAUACCACCGGACUUCGACAUCUCUGAAGGGUCUGUGCUUUCUGGUGUUGACGAAUCAACUGUUCGAAGUCUUAACGGGUGCAGGGUGGCAGACCAAAUUCUUCGACUUGUUCCAAAUGUUGAGAACUUCCGGACAACACUCAGGUGCUUGAAGUACUGGGCAGAGAGAAGGGGCGUUUAUUCCAAUGUUACUGGUUUCCUCGGGGGUGUCAACUGGGCCAUAUUGGUUGCUCGUAUCUGCCAACUGUAUCCUAAUGCUGUACCAAGUAUGCUGGUCUCAAGAUUCUUCCGAGUUUUUACACAGUGGCAGUGGCCGAAUCCAGUGAUGCUUUGUGCCAUUGAGAAUGAUGAUCUUGGUUUUUCUGUAUGGGAUCCACGUAAAAAUCCUCGUGAUAGAUCUCAUGUUAUGCCUAUCAUUACUCCAGGCUAUCCGUGCAUGAACUCUAGCUACAAUGUAUCUUCUAGCACAUUGAGGGUUAUCAUGGAGCAAUUUAAGCUUGGUAAUAAGAUUUGUCAGGAAAUUGACCUUAAUAAGGCUAGUUGGACUGCCUUGUUUGAGCCUUUUAAUUUUUUCGAGGCAUAUACAAAGUAUCUAGUGGUUGACAUUGUUGCGGACAAUGAUGAUGAUCUCCGGCUUUGGAAGGGAUGGGUUGAGUCUCGACUAAGACAGCUGACUUUGAAGAUAGAGCGGGAUACUAAUGGAAUGCUGCAAUGCCAUCCUUACCCAUGUGACUAUGCAAAUCCUAGAGUACAGUGUGCUCAUUGCUCCUUCUAUAUGGGCUUAUCAAGGAAAGAAGGGAUGAAAAUACAUGGUCAAAAAUUUGAUAUUCGUGGAACGGUAGAUGAUUUUAUGCAUGAAAUUGGAAUGUACACAUUGUGGAAGUCUGGAAUGGAUCUAGCAGUCACCCAUGUUCGUAAGAAGCAGAUCCCUUAUUAUGUAUUUGAACAGGGUUACAAGAAACCUUGUCCACCAGUGCAUGCAAACCAGCAAGAGCAGUCUGAUAGACAGUGUGAUUUUGAUGGAGCUGGUCACAUCGAAUCAUGUAAAUCUGUUAAAAGGUCUUCAGUAAGCCCAGGCUACGAGGAAAGUCAACCUGAAUAUGGAAGCAUCGUAAGUAAAAUUGUAUGUGAGAACACAGUCAAAUUGGUUUCCAGUGCCCUCUAUAAUGGAGUUCAGAAUAGACUGUCGCAUGGCGAUGUUAAUUUGGAAUCAGCAAAUUGCCCCAGUUCACCACAUGGAUCUGAGGAGUCUGCAGCAUCAGGCACAUGCUGUGCAGCUGUGGAAACAGUUCACAUGUCUGAUGAAACUGUUGGUCCUGAAAGCUCAAUGACAUGUGUUAUCAAUGGUACGGUUCAGACAAUGGCAGUGCACACACCUUUAAAAUGUGUGGCUGAGAAAGAUGAACCCAAGUUUGAGGGAAUUGGUAGCUUGCCAAACAGCAAUUCUGCCAAGUUUAUGGAGCAGACAGAAAUGCUCACUGGAAACGUCCUUGGUGAGAAUAUGCAAUUGUGUAAAUGAGCUGAUUUGAACUGACCUUCCACUAAACAGGUGCCAAAUUGGUUGUAUCCAGAAGCCAGAAAGCUUCAAUUAGGCCUGUGUCCUAAACUGCGUGAGUGGAGGAUAGUCAAAAGGGAAAAAAGUGCUGACUUGCUGAAUGGGAUCAGGGGUUUCAUGCCUGUGGUCGGUAAGUCUGUUUGCUCCAUUUCUGACAUGGAUUUUCUCAGAAGGGGGUCUUGAAAGAGAAGGUGCUUCUGGUGCCGGAAUGCUCAAUCAGCUAUAUGGAGCAAAUGUGCAGCAGUUUGUCUCAGAUGCUUAUGACAAGGAGAAGCUGUUACCCAAAACUGUGAACCAUGUACCAUUCGGGUUACUUGAUCUUAUUAGCAUAAUAAUACAAAGUUUUCAGCUUGUAAGUGGUAGACACAGAUGCUCUACCUUAUACAUUAAUUACAUAGGUUCUGGUCAGAGUUAGGUAGCUUACUACAGUUCUCUUAUCAAAUUUUGUCAUAGAGAAGACUGCACAUAAUUUUCAAAUGCUGGAAGCUUUGUCUACUCUGAUAUGGUUGCAUUGUCAUAUAUUCAUAUUCCUUUUCCCAA